rnacentral:rRNA from 1 species
UACGUAGGCAGCAAGCGUUGUUCGGAGUUACUGGGCGUAAGGGGUGUGUAGGCGGUUGGAUAAGUGUGGUGUGAAAUCUCCCGGCUUAACUGGGAGGGUGCGCUACAAACUGUCUGACUAGAGUGUGGGAUGGGAAAGUGGAAUUCCUGGUGUAGCGGUGAAAUGCGUAGAUAUCAGGAGGAACACCAAUGGCGAAGGCAGCUCGCUGGGACGGUACUGACGCUGAGACGCGAAAGCGUGGGUAGCAAACAGG